ACAGGGAUUGCCCUAGUAACGGCGAGUGAAGCGGCAACAGCUCAAAUUUGAAAUCUGGCGUCUUUGGCGUCCGAGUUGUAAUUUGCAGAGGGCGCUUUGGCAUUGGCAGCGGUCCAAGUUCCUUGGAACAGGACGUCACAGAGGGUGAGAAUCCCGUACGUGGUCGCUAGCCUUUACCGUGUAAAGCCCCUUCGACGAGUCGAGUUGUUUGGGAAUGCAGCUCUAAAUGGGAGGUAAAUUUCUUCUAAAGCUAAAUACUGGCCAGAGACCGAUAGCGCACAAGUAGAGUGAUCGAAAGAUGAAAAGCACUUUGGAAAGAGAGUUAAAAAGCACGUGAAAUUGUUGAAAGGGAAGCGCUUGCAGCCAGACUUGCCUGUAGUUGCUCAUCCGGGUUUUUACCCGGUGCACUCUUCUAUAGGCAGGCCAGCAUCAGUUUGGGCGGUUGGAUAAAGGUCUCUGUCACGUACCUCCUCUCGGGGAGAACUUAUAGGGGAGACGAAAUGCAACCAGCCUGGACUGAGGUCCGCGCAUCUGCUAGGAUGCUGGCGUAAUGGCUGUAAGCGGCCCGUCUUGAAACACGGACCAAGGAGUCUAACAUCUAUGCGAGUGUUUGGGUGUCAAGCCCGAGCGCGUAAUGAAAGUGAACGGAGGUGGGAACCUUUCGGGGUGCACCAUCGACCGAUCCUGAUGUCUUCGGAUGGAUUUGAGUAAGAGCAUAGCUGUUGGGACCCGAAAGAUGGUGAACUAUGCUUGAAUAGGGUGAAGCCAGAGGAAACUCUGGUGGAGGCUCGCAGCGGUUCUGACGUGCAAAUCGAUCGUCAAAUUUGGGCAUAGGGGCGAAAGACUAAUCGAACAU
rnacentral:rRNA from 1 species